UAUUCGUUGUCUGGUAAAUAUUUUAAUGGCAAGUUUUUUUUUAAUAUAAAAUACACUCUAAACGAAAAAAAAUAUUUCAAAUGUAUUUCAUGAGUGAGUACAUACUUUAAAAAAAAAUAUACCACUUUAGUUUAAUAGUACUCAAUAUAUUGUCCCACUGUGCGCCAACAACUGAUAUAGAAGGCUAACUUGGUAACGGCCAGAGCGAGAGAACCUAAGGGGGCGAAGGACAACCAAAGCAAUGCUGAAGUCAGCUGCCUCCAAUUUAAGUCAAUUUUGUGAACGUGCUUUCUAAAUUGAAAAAUUGUCUUGAUAUACAUCUUCUUGACGCGCGGUAUGUUUUCAUUGUUCCUAUGACACAAAUCCAUCUGCCGCCUGCCUGCCUCUUUCUUCCAUCAUCAACUAUAGCAAACCACACAAAGACAUCAUACUCGUAUAGUUUUUGGUUUUCAUGAAAGGCCAGUUUCUCGGCCCAAGCACCCCUUUUUUCCAACUGAAGCUGACAGAGCAAAGUCGGCGGCGAGCUCAAACUCAAACAACACUUCUACGUCCUAAUAAUACCUCUGUUGUAGUUCUCUAUAACGAUUUGCUUGCCUAACUCACAACCUCCCUCCGGGUUCUGUAGGAUUGAUGAGAGAUAUCUUUUUUGGCUUUUGUGAAUAUGUGCGACGCUGAAGGCGAGAGAGAUGAAACUUGGAAGUGACAAGUAGUGCGAGAUUGGAACGGCAGAUAUCAAUCGUUGUUGCCCGAUCCAUUUUCAUAUAGACGAAAGUAUACCUACUUUCUAGUUUACAUAUAGAUGUGUCGAAAUAUUUAAAUAUUAUGCACUGUGUUGGUUAAAAGUAAAAACGUACCUACACUGAUUUGAUAUUCAAUACCGAUUUUUUUUUUAAAUACAUUUCCUUCUCAAUAUUGAUUGGAAAUUCGAAAAAGUCUCUUUCUCUCUCUAAAUCCAACGUGACGUGAGAUGAUGAAUUUUAUUCAUGUAUUUUUUUCGAGUAUCCUGUAGUAUUUUUUUUUUUUUUUGCUUUUUGACAAUCUAAUUUGGCUUCUGUCACGAUGAGAUUAGCUUCAUCAUUUCCAGAAAAAAAACCACACGAUGCCGACGAGAAGUAAAAGAACUCUUAAAUAAUCCAAUUUUGACAAUUUUGACAAGAAAGUUGUCUGUGGUAAAUUUCGAAGAAAAUCAUAUGUGGAAAAGUAUAAUAAUGCAGUAAAAUCCUUCCGUGAAGCAAGUCAUAUGAUCUAUGUUUUGUAUGGGCACCAUCAUUUUAACAUCGCUCCAGAUGUAAAUUUUUGCUUAAAUUGAGGAAUAAAU